UCAACUGUUACCGCUGUGGCGAGU
rnacentral:piRNA from 1 species